rnacentral:lncRNA from 1 species
CACCUCCUUUUCGCCGCUCGCUCCCGAGCACUGAUUUGUUUCAAUAAAUCGAGCCCCAAUCCCCCGGUGGCAGCCGUCUCCUCCUCCCUCUCCUUCCCCUCCCGCUCCCCUCUCUGCCCGGCUCAGCUUGAUGCUGCUCAAGUUGUGAUGCAGCCCAAAAUAUAGAUCCUUUUCCCUUCGAUCCGAGGCAAAGGCGUGUUUUCCCGGCUGCCUCCGCCUCCACUUGCAAGCCCCCCGCUCAGCCCACCGGCGCCGCUAACCCCCAUCCUGCCCCCCACCUGUCUCCAGCUCAGCACCGCCUCCGCCCGGCUCCUGAAAUAGCCCCGCGGCUGCCGGGGCCGCUCCGGCGCGGCUCUGCCCGCCUGUGCGCAGGAUCCGCCCCCUCUGUCAGCCAGCCAGGCUGCUCUCCUCCCGCCGGACAAACUACUUUCCUCGCACGCUUUAUUAUAGGGGCGCCUCUGCCCGCCGUUUCCUAUCAGAGAGCCUCAUUUGGCAGACACAGGUUCACCGAGAGGCAGAGCUGUGUAUCCGACGGCAUCAGCAAGUUCCUGGCUGUGGCUAAACUACAAAAGGCGUGGAUCUGUCCUUUUGGAGCAGGGGGACAUGAAAUUACAGCUCUUACAUUUGCAAAGCACCUGGAGAGUAAAUGAAAGGGAGGAGAGGCUCAGGCGUGGGAAAGAGGCACAGCCUAAUGGGGAGAGCAGAGCAGCUCUAGUCGGGAUGUUUCCGAUGCCUCCGCUCGGGCACAGCGGGACCUUGGAGAAGCCGCGGUGGCUGCCUUAUUUGUCAGACGAAGGCGGUGAAUGCGUGCUUAGCUCCUGAAGUCCUUGGGAGGCUCAGAUCACCCACGUCUGAAUGGUAGAGACUGCAGCGUGCCCUGGGGAGGACAGUCCCGGGCAUUUGGGGAGGGCAGCAACCUGAAGCACUCUGUCCCCCGCUCCGCUCAGCUAGGAUCAAGGCAUCUCGCCGAAAGGCAAAAGCCCCAGGAGCUUCUGGAGCCUGAGGGCACCGCGCACCACGGGGCGGGUGGCCAGGGCGAGACCACGCGGCU